UACGUAGGGCGCAAGCGUUAUCCGGAAUUAUUGGGCGUAAAGAGCUCGUAGGCGGUUUGUCGCGUCUGCCGUGAAAGUCCGGGGCUCAACUCCGGAUCUGCGGUGGGUACGGGCAGACUAGAGUGCAGUAGGGGAGACUGGAAUUCCUGGUGUAGCGGUGAAAUGCGCAGAUAUCAGGAGGAACACCGAUGGCGAAGGCAGGUCUCUGGGCCGAAACUGACGCUGAGGAGCGAAAGCGUGGGGAGCGAACAGG
rnacentral:rRNA from 1 species